CCUGCUUAUGUAUUAUUUGUCUCCCCACCAGAAGGUCAGUCCACAAGGGCAGGAUUUUGGAGAGUUUUGUUCACUGCUGAAUUCCCAGCUCCUAACACAGUGCCUGGCACACUGCGUGCUCUGUAAAUAUUUGAGGAAUGAAUGAAUGAAGAACAGUGGAAGGAUUUUAAGCAGAGGACUCUCAUGACCAUAUUUAUGUCUUGGAUCCCUCUCAAGAAGGCUGAGACUGAAGCAGGGAGAAGGGCAAGAGGUAUUAAAGGUUCUGCCACAAAGGACUAGAGAUAGUCAUAAAAAGAACAGAGAUCAAAAGAGUGUUUACAGACUGGCUGACUGAGAUUAGAGCAAGUAAUAAAGAGUGAAUUCAAACUGACUUAGCGAAUAUUUGCUUUUGGUGGGGCUGCUGACGACUUGAGAAAUCGUUCUUUCUAUACUCCAUAAAAUAAAUUUUUUAACGAGAGGGUGAGGGACACAGAAAAGCAGAAAGGAAGCGUCAAGGUAAUUCACUACCUGGAGAAUUUGGUCCAGAACAAGUGAACCAUGCUGAUAAGAUUUUAAGAAAACACGGACAAAAUCACUUCCUUGUUCAGAUGUGUCACAAAGGGAACAACAACCACAAAAUCAUCCAAGCAAGGAACUCGGCCGACUCCUGAUUUCAACCUGGGAGAACAAUUUCCUGCCAGUGUGAUAUUGUUUUACAGGCAAGUUAAGACCCUCGGCGAGCAGGAUUCCUGCAUAAAGGCUGACGGUCAUGCUGGCUUGCAGAGCUUGCUUAUGUUUUUAAUAAAACUGUCAGAUUCAACAAUGCCUGGCUGCAGGUUAUUAUUAAUACAAAUUCUUAACUGUCAAUUAGUUAACCGGCAAGUAAAAAGAACCUGGUUUAUAAGAUUGUUGCUAAUGAAUAUAACGCUUUGUUCUCCAGCAAAACAUCUGCUUUGGAUAUGUAAUCAGAAGAAGAAGCACGCCCCUCCCAUAGGGAGAGCAUGUGCCGCUGAAUCAAGGAGCUUGUUAUACCUGCGAGGGGUCAAAGUCUGCGGAUCUGUGGCUUAUGGUAUUAUGACUGAUUACAAAAUCACUCCAUUGUGUUAGUGGAUCUGUUUCCAAGCACCUAGCAGGAAGCUAGCUGGGCACUACACGCUCUGAAACAAGAUCCCCACUGGUUUUCUUCCUAAGGUCUCACGACAGGUCAGCUGUUGUUGACAUCACACGACAGCUCACGUGUCUUUCUGUCUGACUUGUGCCUCUGUUACUCUGAGCUCUGAGAGUCCUUUGAGAGUGAGCUUGUGCCUCAGGCCACAACUAGCUCCCAAGAAGUGUUGAGGUAGAUUUGAAAGCCAUGGGUAGCCCCAUCAUUUGUGCGAUUGAAAGGGAAAAGGAAGCCGAACUCUUACUCACCAGGUGUCUUUUCUGUGCCUCCCUUUCUCCUAGCCUUCCCCAUCUCCUCCUUUUCUCUUCCACUAUUUCCCUGGUUCCUCAUCCCCUCCUCCUCCCAUGGGCAUCUGCCUGCUUAUAAAACCUGUUUAGAGAGGAGAGCAGCUAGUUAGAGACCUGUCUCCUCCAAAAGCCUUUGUUUUGAAGUCACUUGUCACACAGACCUAU
ensembl:lncRNA